ACGGUUCAUUAACGCGAAGCCAACCUAACCUAGGGAGGGAAAUACCCCCGGGAAAUUGAGAAUAAGGCCCAAAAAAACAUUAUGCCGGGAAGGGUUUAUGUUCCAAAUGAUUUACCGCCGAAGGAGGGGACGGCGGCCAAUCAUUUUGUUGGGGAGGUAAGGCCCCACCAAAAUAAUAACAGGUACGGGCUCUAAAAGAAGUACCCCGAAAAUGGUUACUGAAACACGAACCCAGGCCCUAUGGGGCGCAGCAGGAAAAAAAAUUUUGCAAGGUGCAAAACCACAACAAGGUUAAUCCAAGUGUUUUCUGCAAAAGAAACUUUUUGUCGGUCCAAAAAACACUAAUAAAAAAGGGGGGGGCAAUUUCUGGUGCCACCCGCCGCGGAAAAACCACCACCUCAGGUGGUAAGAAUAAUUAUUGGCCCAAAAGCAUCCGCAGCCGGUUUUGUUAUUUUUCGAUUAAUUCUGCCCCCCCAACGUACAGGCUGCCGGAAAUACUGAAAAGUUAGGGAGUGGAAAAGGUAGACGGUACUCGUUAGAAAGGGAAAAAUUCUUUUAUUUUAUUAAUGACCACUUGUGGCAAAGGCG
rnacentral:rRNA from 1 species